rnacentral:rRNA from 1 species
CUCCUGGAAACGGGUGGUAAUGCCGGAUGCUCCGCCCCCUCGCAUGGGGGGUCGGGAAGGCUUUUGCGGAAUGGGAUGGGGUCGCGUCCUAUCAGCUUGUUGGCGGGGCGACGGCCCACCAAGGCUUCGACGGGUAGCCGGCCUGAGAGGGCGACCGGCCACAUUGGGACUGAGAUACGGCCCAGACUCCUACGGGAGGCAGCAGUGGGGAAUAUUGCACAAUGGGGGGAACCCUGAUGCAGCGACGCCGCGUGCGGGAUGGAGGCCUUCGGGCGUGAACCGCUUUUGAUUGGGAGCAAGCGUGAGUGAGUGUACCUUUCGAAUAAGCACCGGCUAACUACGUGCCAGCAGCCGCGGUAAUACGUAGGGUGCAAGCGUUGUCCGGAAUCAUUGGGCGUAAAGGGCUCGUAGGCGGUUCGUCGCGUCCGGUGUGAAAGCCCAUCGCUUAACGGUGGGUCUGCGCCGGGUACGGGCGGGCUUGAGUGCGGCAGGGGAGGCUGGAAUUCCCGGUGUAACGGUGGAAUGUGUAGAUAUCGGGAAGAACACC